CCUACGGGAGGCUGCAGUGGGGAAUCUUGCGCAAUGGGCGAAAGCCUGACGCAGCGACGCCGCGUGUGGGAUGACGGCCUUCGGGUUGUAAACCACUGUCGGGAGGGACGAAGUUCUGACGGUACCUCCAAAGGAAGCACCGGCUAACUCUGUGCCAGCAGCCGCGGUAAUACAGAGGGUGCAAGCGUUGUCCGGAAUCACUGGGCGUAAAGGGCGCGUAGGCGGCCUGGUAAGUCGGGGGUGAAACGCUUCGGCUCAACCGCGGCACUGCCUGCGAGACGGCCUGGCUUGAGCACGGUAGAGGCUGGUGGAAUUCCCGGUGUAGCGGUGGAAUGCGUAGAGAUCGGGAAGAACAUCGGUGGCGAAGGCGGCCAGCUGGGCCGUUGCUGACGCUGAGGCGCGACAGCGUGGGGAGCAAACAGGAUUAGAUACCCCAGUAGUC
rnacentral:rRNA from 1 species